rnacentral:rRNA from 1 species
GGGAUUUUCCGCAAUGGGCGAAAGCCUGACGGAGCAAUACCGCGUGAGGGAGGAAGGCUCUUGGGUUGUAAACCUCUUUUCUCAGGGAAGAACANAAUGACGGUACCUGAGGAAUCAGCAUCGGCUAACUCCGUGCCAGCAGCCGCGGUAAUACGGAGGAUGCAAGCGUUAUCCGGAAUUAUUGGGCGUAAAGCGUCCGCAGGUGGCUUUUCAAGUCUGCUGUCAAAGACCGGGGCUUAACCCUGGAAAGGCGGUGGAAACUGAAAUGCUAGAGUGCGGUAGGGGCAGAGGGAAUUCCCGGUGUAGCGGUGAAAUGCGUAGAGAUNGGGAAGAACACCGGUGGCGAAAGCGCUCUGCUGGACCGCAACUGACACUCAUGGACGAAAGCUAGGGGAGCGAAUGGGAUUAGAUACCCCAGUAGUCCUAGCCGUAAACGAUGGAUACUAGGUGUGGCUUGUAUCGACCCGAUGCCGUGUCGUAGCUAACGCGUUAAGUAUCCCGCCUGGGGAGUACGCACGC